GACAGAGGGUGCGAACGUUGUUCGGAAUUACUGGGCGUAAAGCGCGUGUAGGCGGCAGCGUGUGUCGGGCGUGAAAUCCCACGGCUCAACCGUGGAAGUGCACUCGAAACUGCGCAGCUAGAGUCCUGGAGAGGAAGGUGGAAUGCUUGGUGUAGAGGUGAAAUUCGUAGAUAUCAAGCAGAACACCUGCGGCGAAGGCGGCCUUCUGGACGAUGACUGACGCUGAGACGCGAAAGCGUGGGGAGCAAACAGG
rnacentral:rRNA from 1 species